rnacentral:rRNA from 1 species
GAUGAACGCUAGCUACAGGCUUAACACAUGCAAGUCGAGGGGUAGCAGGGUAGCAAUACCGCUGACGACCGGCGCACGGGUGAGUAACACGUAUCCAACCUUCCCAUAACUCGGGGAUAGCCUUUCGAAAGAAAGAUUAAUACCCGAUAGUACUUUUUCAAGGCAUCUUGAAAAAGUUAAACAUUUAUUGGUUAUGGAUGGGGAUGCGUUCCAUUAGAUAGUUGGUGAGGUAACGGCUCACCAAGUCUUCGAUGGAUAGGGGUUCUGAGAGGAAGGUCCCCCACAUUGGUACUGAGACACGGACCAAACUCCUACGGGAGGCAGCAGUGAGGAAUAUUGGUCAAUGGGCGAGAGCCUGAACCAGCCAAGUAGCGUGAAGGAUGAAGGUCCUAUGGAUUGUAAACUUCUUUUAUAGUAGAAUAAAGUGAUCCACGUGUGGAUUUUUGUAUGUAUACUAUGAAUAAGGAUCGGCUAACUCCGUGCCAGCCGCCGCAGUAA